UACGGAGGGUGCAAGCGUUAUCCGGAUUCACUGGGUUUAAAGGGUGCGUAGGCGGGUUUUUAAGUCAGCGGUGAAAGCUCCGAGCUUAACUCGGAAAUUGCCGUUGAUACUAUUAAUCUUGAAUUUAGUUGAGGUGGGCGGAAUGUGUAGUGUAGCGGUGAAAUGCUUAGAUAUUACACAGAACACCUAUUGCGAAGGCAGCUCGCUAAACUAAUAUUGACGCUGAGGCACGAAAAGCGUGGGGAUCAAACAGG
rnacentral:rRNA from 1 species